rnacentral:rRNA from 1 species
CCGGCGCACGGGUGAGUAACACGUAUGGAACCUGCCCUAUGCAGGGGGAUAAGCGGAAGAAAUUCCGUCUAAUACCGCAUAACACCAUUUGGAGACAUCUCCAGGGGGUCAAAGGAGGCGACUCCGGCAUAGGAUGGCCAUGCGUCGCAUUAGCUAGUCGGCGGGGUAACGGCCCACCGAGGCGACGAUGCGUAGGGGUUCUGAGAGGAAGGUCCCCCACACUGGUACUGAGACACGGACCAGGCUCCUACGGGAGGCAGCAG